rnacentral:lncRNA from 1 species
AUAACUUUGUUUAAAAAUUUAAACAUUCAUCAUACUUUUCUUUUAGGUGCUGGGGAUUAAAUUCGUGUUUGCCAGCCAGGCGCUUACACCACUGAGCUAAAUCCACAGCCCCCACCAUACUUCUCAAUCAGCCCACAAAAGAGGCCUCACGGGUAGGAAGAGAAGGAGCUGGGAGUUAAAGCCAGGAGCUCUGUCCCUACAGCCACGCCUUUAACUUUGUCUUUUAUCAUCUUUGCUGGAAAAAAUUGGACAGAAAAAAAAUACAAAACCAGAUUUCAGAUAUUGGAAAACCUCUCUGGUGACUCUGUCACUUCCUCUGGAGGGAGCAAUUUUUCAACACUGAAUCUGCAGUAAGGAUAUGGUUUGUAAAACUGGGU